CACUGACGGCUUAUCGGGGGAUUAGGGUUCGAUUCCGGAGAGGGAGCCUGAGAAACGGCUACCACAUCUAAGGAAGGCAGCAGGCGCGCAAAUUACCCAAUUCUAACAGCAUAAGAGAGGUAGUGACAAGAAAUAACAAUACAAGGUAAUUAAAUUGCUUUGUAAUUGGAAUGAUAGAAAUUUAAACACUUUUUAAAGUAUCAAUUGGAGGGCAAGUCUGGUGCCAGCAGCCGCGGUAAUUCCAGCUCCAAUAGCGUAUAUUAAAAUUGUUGCAGUUAAAAAGCUCGUAGUUGAAUUUCUGUUAAAAAUAACCGGUCUGCUUUUUUUAAAAAUGGUAUCUUGGUGUGUUUUUACUACUAACGUCCAUUGAAACGUUUUUAACUUUAUUGUACUAAAUCGUUAUUUUGAGGAUUUUUACUUUGACAAAAAUAAAGUGAUUAUAACAGGGUUACUCUUUUGAAUACUGCAGCAUGCAAAAAUAAGAUAGGAUUUAACUUCUACGUUAUUGGUUUUAAGAACUAGAUUAAUGA
rnacentral:rRNA from 1 species